CUGAUUUGUCAAAACAAUUCAGAUAAAAAAAAAUAACAAAUUUUUAAAAUUUUAAUAAAAAUUUCUUAUUUCUUCAUAUAUUUUCAAAUGAAUAGGCUCUUCUAAAGAAUUAAUACUUUAUUUAGCAAUUCCAAUUCUAGAGACAAGAAAAAAGCCUUGGAUGUACUGAUGGACCAUAGCAGGUGAAUUGCUCCAACAAAAACACUAUAUUCAUUCCUGUUAUAUUGAUUGGGAGCAAAUUGGCACAAGGAAACCCACAACUAAAUGGAAGAGAACACUGAUACUGUGAAUGAGUGACUCCUAGCCGGACACAAUACGCAAGCUGCACGCCUCGGCAACCGAAUGUCUGCACAGUGCUUGGAUGCAUGGAACUCACUAUACGUAGACAAAAUGCUGGAGUAUCCAGCAUUCAACAGAGUUUUGGUCAUCGAGAGUACCUAUCACAUCAAUAUCCAUGAAGACGUCGAAAAAACCAUAAAAUUUUGUCGCUUAAGGUCAUGUGCGAGUCAUUUUUGCUGCUGAUGGUUUCCAUUGUGGAAACUCCACAAAAUUCUGUGAAGGGUCUAGAAGUGGUUCUGCUGUGUGUUAGACAUGACUUUUUUUUUGCAUUAAACUAAUCAUUUUCAAUAUGAGAAUGAUAACGCAGACUAUUUUUUGUAUAACAGUGAAACACACUUUUUUAUAUUAAGGACUUUCUGAAAAUUUAUUUUUAUUUUGCAUCUAUUGAAAAGUUUGUAUUAAAAUAAAAAAUAUACGUUCGAACAAAAAAGGAUAAUUUUAA